rnacentral:rRNA from 1 species
UACGUAGGUGGCGAGCGUUGUCCGGAAUUAUUGGGCGUAAAGAGCGUGUAGGUGGGAUAGUCAGUCUCAUUUAAAAGAUCGGGGCUCAACCCCGUUAAGGGUGAGAAACAGCUAUUCUUGAGUGCAGGAGAGGAAAGCGGAAUUCCCAGUGUAGCGGUGAAAUGCGUAGAUAUUGGGAGGAACACCAGUGGCGAAGGCGGCUUUCUGGACUGUGUCUGACACUGAGGCGCGAAAGCUAGGGGAGCGAACGGG